CGCGUGAGUGAUGAAGGUUUUCGGAUCGUAAAGCUCUGUUGUUAGGGAAGAACAAGUGCCGUUCAAAUAGGGCGGCACCUUGACGGUACCUAACCAGAAAGCCACGGCUAACUACGUGCCAGCAGCCGCGGUAAUACGUAGGUGGCAAGCGUUGUCCGGAAUUAUUGGGCGUAAAGGGCUCGCAGGCGGUUUCUUAAGUCUGAUGUGAAAGCCCCCGGCUCAACCGGGGAGGGUCAUUGGAAACUGGGGAACUUGAGUGCAGAAGAGGAGAGUGGAAUUCCACGUGUAGCGGUGAAAUGCGUAGAGAUGUGGAGGAACACCAGUGGCGAAGGCGACUCUCUGGUCUGUAACUGACGCUGAGGAGCGAAAGCGUGGGGAGCGAACAGGAUUAGAUACCCUGGUAGUCCACGCCGUAAACGAUGAGUGCUAAGUGUUAGGGGGUUUCCGCCCCUUAGUGCUGCAGCUAACGCAUUAAGCACUCCGCCUGGGGAGUACGGUCGCAAGACUGAAACUCAAAGGAAUUGACGGGGGCCCGCACAAGCGGUGGAGCAUGUGGUUUAAUUCGAAGCAACGCGAAGAACCUUACCAGGUCUUGACAUCCUCUGACAAUCCUAGAGAUAGGACGUCCCCUUCGGGGGCAGAGUGACAGGUGGUGCAUGGUUGUCGUCAGCUCGUGUCGUGAGAUGUUGGGUUAAGUCCCGCAACGAGCGCAAACUCUUGAUCUUAGUUGCCAGCAUUCAGUUGGGCACUCUAAGGUGACCUGCCGGUGACAAACCGGAGGAAGGUGGGGGAUGACGUCAAAUCAUCUUGCCCCUUAUGACCUGGGUCUACUCUCGUGCUACAAUGGACAGAACAAAGGGCAGCGAAACCGCGAGGGUAAGCCUAUUCCCACAAAUCUUUUCUCAUUUCGGGAUCGCAGUCCUGCACUUCGACUGCCGUGAAGUCUGGAAUCCCUAGUAAUCGCGGAUCAGCAUUGGCCGCGCGUGAUAUCGUUUCCUCGGGCCCUUUGUACCCACCCCGGCCCGUUCCUCCCCUCGAGGGUUUUGUAACACCCUAAGUCCGGUGGAGCUAACCCUUUAUGGAUGCCAUCCUUCCAAGGUGGUUACAAUUGAU
rnacentral:rRNA from 1 species